CUCCUCCCUCGCCCGCAGCCCAGCGUCCCCUCCCCCCACCCGUCGGGCUCCUCGGCGGCUACUGCAGAGGAUCAGAGCCGAGUUGCUGAGGAGGAGGAGGCUCCCAGUCCCUGCGCGCCAUCCGCCACCUUACUGGACACGGGCGAGGGAGCGAGAGCGUCGCUUCUGUAGCCUUCAGAGAAGACAAGGGCAUCGCCGCUUCAGCUGCCGCCGCCGCCGUUUUCGCCUGCAGCGGCUCGCCGAUGCUGAUUCUUUGUAAUACCAGCUUAGAGCUUCAUGUCAUGUUUUGUUUCCUAAGGCACACUGCCUUUUUCAUUGGCAUAUACUAUCAAGUUGUGACCCAUGCUGAAAGGAACGGUUCCAAAUCUUCUGCUUGUGUAAUUGACCCCAACUUGAAUGGCUUAUGCUUCCCAUCUUAUGUUGAAAAGGAUUCUCAGUUGUCCACAAUGAACCCUGUUUAUAGCCCCGUGCAGCCUGGGGCUCCUUAUGGCAACCCUAAGAACAUGGCCUACACAGGCCUCUGACUGCCAGAGAGAGAAGCUUGAGCCAUCACUGUCACGACAAGUGCUGCUACGAUUGUUACCCUACAGCCUAUCCAGCUGCAGCCCCUGCCUACAAUCCCAGCCUGUACCCCACCAAUAGCCCCAGUUAUGCUCCAGGUAAGGAGAAAGUGAAGACAGCAGUGGUGAGUGGGGUGGGAGGUGAGGCUCUAUUUGGGGAAAAAAAGCCCGAAACACUUGCUGGCCUUUCCAUGUCCUUAAUUGCUCUGGGCUCAGCCUGUCCAUGCUUGAUUGUCCAGGGAGUCCCCUCUGGGAACUGGGGCAGUUCAGCCUCCGGGAAUAGAAUUUCUUCCAUUCUCCUUGGGACUUAAAGUUGGCCCAUCUCUCUUCUGCUGGAAUAUCUGAGACGUGUAUCCUCCUCACAGAACCUUUUCUGCUCCCCCAGUAUCCACACCCAGUUUUUGCUCGGUUCCCCCUGAGGCUGCCGUUGACACACACACACACACACA